rnacentral:rRNA from 1 species
GACAGAGGAUGCAAGCGUUAUCCGGAAUGAUUGGGCGUAAAGCGUCUGUAGGUGGCUUUUUAAGUCUGCCGUCAAAUCCCAGGGCUUAACCCUGGACAGGCGGUGGAAACUACCAAGCUGGAGUACGGUAGGGGCAGAGGGAAUUUCCGGUGGAGCGGUGAAAUGCGUAGAGAUCGGAAAGAACGCCAACGGCGAAGGCACUCUGCUGGGCCGACACUGACACUGAGAGACGAAAGCUAGGGGAGCGAAUGGG